rnacentral:tRNA from 1 species
GAGAAAGACAUAGUGGUUAUGCGGCUGGCUUGAAACCAGUCUUAGGGGGUUCGAUUCCUUCCUUUCUUG